UACGGAGGGGGCGAGCGUUGUCCGAAGUUACUGGGCGUAAAGCGCGCGUAGGUGGGUUGGUAAGUCCGCUGUGAAAGCCCGGAGCUUAACUCCGGAGGGUCGGGGGAUACUACCAGUCUUGAAGGUGCUAGGGGGAAGUGGAAUUACCGGUGUAGCGGUGAAAUGCGUAGAUAUCGGGAGGAACACCAGUGGCGAAGGCGGCUUCCUGGGGCAUUCUUGACGCUGAGGCGCGAAAGCUAGGGGAGCAAACGGG
rnacentral:rRNA from 1 species